rnacentral:rRNA from 1 species
CCUACGGGCGGUAGCAGUGGGGAAUAUUGGACAAUGGGGGGAACCCUGAUCCAGCCAUGCCGCGUGUGUGAAGAAGGCCCUCGGGUUGUAAAGCACUUUCAGUGAGGAAGAACGCCUGGUGGUUAAUACCCAUCAGGAAAGACAUCACUCACAGAAGAAGCACCGGCUAACUCCGUGCCAGCAGCCGCGGUAAUACGGAGGGUGCGAGCGUUAAUCGGAAUUACUGGGCGUAAAGCGCGCGUAGGUGGCUUGAUAAGCCGGUUGUGAAAGCCCCGGGCUCAACCUGGGAACGGCAUCCGGAACUGUCAAGCUAGAGUGCAGGAGAGGAAGGUAGAAUUCCCGGUGUAGCGGUGAAAUGCGUAGAGAUCGGGAGGAAUACCAGUGGCGAAGGCGGCCUUCUGGACUGACACUGACACUGAGGUGCGAAAGCGUGGGUAGCAAACAGGAUUAGAUACCCCUGUAGUC